UCGACUUCGGUUGUGGCACCUUCCUCCAGGAGCGGGCCUUCUCGGGGUUUGCCGGAACGGACGCGUACAGCCCGCCCGAGUGGAUCUGGCUGGGUUACUACCACGGCCACGCGGCCACCAUCUGGUCCCUGGGCGUUCUGCUGUACGUCAUGGUCUGCGGCAGCCUCCCCUUCCAGGACGACCCUGACAUUGUGCUGGGGAAGGUCUUCUUCCAGCGGCAGGUCUCUCCAGAGCUCCAGCACCUGAUCCGAUGGUGUUUGGCCAAGCAGCCUGCGGACAGGCCGGAGCUGGAGGAGGUCUCAUGCCACCCUUGGGUGCGGGGCCGGCGUUUUUGAUGCCUUGCCGGAGCCUCUGCAGCACCCACUUACCAAGUCCUCCUUCCAACACCGCUCCUCGAUGACAUCCGAGAGGCUGGCCGUGCCGCGCUGUUGAAGAUCCCAGACGGCAAAACUCCCUCAGGACAAAAAACCCAACAGGACAGGCCAGAGUGGAGCGCUCCCACAAAGAACUCAAAAGGUGUCUCGACCAACAACACGAUGCGGCGCUGGCGAUGACUCCGGUCGAGAGACUCUGUAAAGCACUUUAUGUGCUGAAUUUUUUAAAUUGCACCGACCGGGAGCCAGACCCGCCCGUCAUCAGACACUUUACUAACAGCACGCGAGCGCUUUUGAAGGAGCGCCCACCGGUCCUUGUCCGUGACCCGGAAUCCCGAGCCAUCACAGGGCCUUUUCCCCUAAUAACCUGGGGGAGAGGGUAUGCCUGUGUCUCAACAGCUCAUGGACCAAAGUGGAUUCCGGGGAAAUAUGUGAAGCCCUUCUUAGAAGAUGCCCCAGCGGCAGAAGCACCAACGCGACAGGACCCACAGACUGCGUCUCCCACAACACCAGACGACGCAGUCGCGUGGAAGAGACGACGAAUGAAGAGGACCGGGAGCCGUCCCAACUUGGUGUCCCGAGUCCUCAUCACCAGACUUUACUACCCACCUCUGGACUCGACACCCCAAAAUAACCCAUCCCCUCCAGUUACCUUUCCCUUACCCCCUUACCUUACCCGUUUUCCCUAUGCCCCUCUACCCUAAAUUUCUAUUUAAACUCAAAGGGGGAGCUGGGAGGGGAGGGGAGGGAACCAAAUCCUUUGUUAUUUACAGUUCCUUUUAUUUUAAUAGAAUGAGGAUGGCUGCCCAAGUGACAACUACCCGGGAGAAACACCAGAAAUCGCCCCACUGCGCCCAGCUGGCCGUCGCCGUGGCAUUCUUUGUACCCCCCCAUUGGUUCCUCCCCCGAAACCACUCCUUCCCUCUAUCCCAGUUGGCCGUUGCCGUGUCACUCCUGCUUGACUCCGCCCUCAUACCCUCACCCGGCUGGAUGCUCCGUACCCUGACCCUCCUUCCCUGUAGCUGUUAUCAACCCUGCCCCGCCCCUGGUUCGGGGCUCUCAGAGCUGGCUCGCCCUCUGAGUGGCUGUGUCCCUUCACCACCCUCGCCUUCCCUCACCGAAGCCCUCAGAAUAAAAGCCUCCUGAGAGACUCUC